ACACAUCUUGGUAAGUUCCAUGAAGAGGCAUGGUCUGUAACUGUCUUGCCAUGAUCAUUUUUUCAGGAGCCUAGAGCAGUGUUUGGCAGUCGAUAUGUCUUGAAUGAUUGAACAAAAGCUAGUUUGUGACAGAGCCACCCAGCGGAAUGUUCACCUCGUCCAACUCUUCUACACAAUCGAGAGAAACAUUCUUUUCUAAUUUCCUUCCUUUUUUAGAAAAAAUUAAUAGACCUUGGUUCUGUCCCCAACGGUCUGAAUUAGGGGUUAAUUAGGGUUAACCACAUUUUGUAUUUAUAUGUCCUUUCCUAUGGAGACAUCAAAGCCCAGAAAUGUCACCUCAAUGCCCAUACAGCUUUCCCCUCACCUCCAAGAGUGACAGAGUGAAAUUUAGAAUCCCAGGCCCUUGCAGGGGAAGGCUGAGACAUGUCUGGCUCCAGUAAAUUAACGACCUCAUCUCCACUGACUUAUUUGUCUGAAACAUGUUCAAAAAGCAAAGCAAAUAGAAAAGAGGAGAAGUCUUGGAGGAAGAAGGAAAGCAGACACAGGAAAUUAGGAUAAAUGUUUAAAGGCAUGUAUUUUAGCUUAUUAGGAUAAAUGUUUAAAGGUAUGUAUUUUAAAUUAUGCAUCAAG
rnacentral:lncRNA from 10 species